rnacentral:misc_RNA from 1 species
GAUGAAGAACGCAGCGAAAUGCGAUACGUAGUGUGAAUUGCAGAAUUCAGUGAAUCAUCGAAUCUUUGAACGCACAUUGCGCCCCCUGGUAUUCCGGGGGGCAUGCCUGUCCGAGCGUCAUUGCUGCCCUCAAGCACGGCUUGUGUGUUGGGCCCCGUCCUCCGAUCCCGGGGGACGGGCCCGAAAGGCAGCGGCGGCACCGCGUCCGGUCCUCGAGCGUAUGGGGCUUUGUCACCCGCUCUGUAGGCCCGGCCGGCGCUUGCCGAUCAACCCAAAUUUUUAUCCAGGUUGACCUCGGAUCAGGUAGGGAUACCCGCUGAACUUAAGCAUAUCAAUAAGCGGAGGA